rnacentral:ncRNA from 1 species
UGGUCCUAGCCUUGUAGUCAAUUUUUAUUUAAUAUACACAUGCAAGUCUCCGCCCCCCUGUGAAAACGCCCUUAAAUCCCCAUUAGGGAUAAGGAGCUGGUAUCAGGCUCAAUUUUUAGCCCAAAACACCUAGCUAUGCCACAUCCACAAGGAAAUUCAGCAGUGAUAAACAUUGAAUAUUAGCGACAGCUUGAUUCAGUUAAAAUAUAUAGAGCCGGCAAAUCUGGUGCCAGCCGCCGCGGUUACACCACGUGGCUCAAAUUGACCUCUAUCGGCGUAAAGCGUGAUUUAAGCGAUUUUAUAAAUAUAGUUAAACUAAAACUAAGCUGUAACACGCUUGUUAAUAAGAAACCCAACAACGAAAGUCACUAUAAUUUUAUCAACUUGAAUACACAAAAGCUAAGAUACAAACUGGGAUUAGAUACCCCACUAUGCUUAGCUGUAAACUUUAACUUACACUAAAAUCGCCUGGGAACUACGAGCAAAGCUUAAAACCCAAAGGACUUGACGGUACCCCAAAUCCACCUAGAGGAGCCUGUCCUAUAAUCGAUAACCCCCGCUAAACCUCACCAUUUUUAGCUUUCUCAGCCUGUAUACCUCCGUCGUCAGCUUACCACAUGAGCGAAUUAUAGUGAGCUAAAUGUUUUUAUACCAACACGUCAGGUCAAGGUGCAGCAAAUAAAAUGGGAAGAGAUGGGCUACACUCUCUAAUUUAGAAAACUACGAAAAACUACUAUGAAACCUAGUUAGAAGGCGGAUUUAGAAGUAAAAAGAAAAAAUGAGUGUUCUUUUUAACUUGGCACUGGGGUGUGUACACACCGCCCGUCACCCUCCUCAAAAUACAAAAAAAGUUAAUAACAAACUUAAAUACUUCAGAAGAGGCAAGUCGUAACAUGGUAAGUAUACCGGAAGGUGUGCUUGGAAA